UACGGGGGGAGCAAGCGUUGUUCGGAUUUACUGGGCGUAAAGGGCGCGUAGGCGGCCACCGCAAGUCGACUGUGAAAUCUCCGGGCUUAACUCGGAGCGGUCAAGUGAUACUGUUGUGCUAGAGUGCGGAAGGGGCUACUGGAAUUCUCGGUGUAGCGGUGAAAUGCGUAGAUAUCGAGAGGAACACCUGCGGCGAAGGCGGGUAGCUGGGCCGACACUGACGCUGAAGCGCGAAAGCUAGGGGAGCGAACGGG
rnacentral:rRNA from 1 species